rnacentral:rRNA from 1 species
UACAGAGACUGCAAGCGUUAUUCGGAUUCACUGGGCGUAAAGGGUGCGCAGGCGGCCAAGUGUGUGAGGCGUGAAAGCCCGGGGCUUAACCCCGGAAUUGCACCUCAAACUACAUGGCUAGAGCAUUGGAGAGGGUAGCAGAAUUCAUGGUGUAGCAGUGAAAUGCGUAGAUAUCAUGAGGAAUACCAGAGGCGAAGGCGGCUACCUGGACAAUUGCUGACGCUCAGGCACGAAAGCGUGGGGAGCAAACGAG